GGGCGGUUAGCUCAGCGGUAGAGCACUACCUUGACAUGGUAGGGGUAACAGGUUCGUACCCUGUACCGCCCACCA
rnacentral:tRNA from 1 species